rnacentral:tRNA from 1 species
GCCCUCGUGGUGAAAAUCGACAUCACGGUCGUCUUCUAAACUUCAGUUCCCGGUGCGAAUCCGGGCGGGGGCACCA